rnacentral:lncRNA from 1 species
UUAUAAAUCAGCAAUAACAAAUUGACAAUUCAAAAUAAACAAGUCCAUACAAGCUAAAUAAGCUAUUACAAAGCCAAAUCAACCCUCCUUCUCACCAAUACUUGAGCUCUCACCUCUCCCUUUGCCCAUAGCAUCGUCAUCAACCAACUUUUCGUUCACGACCACUUUUGUCACAUCCAACUUCUUCACAUCUGUUUCAGAAAAUAAAACUCUAACCUGAGACACUGCUUGGUC